ACUACAUGUACAGGAUAGGUGGGAGGCUUUGAAACCAGGACGCCAGUUUUGGCGGAGCCAUCCUUGGGAUACCACCCUUGUAGUACUGGGACUCUAACCAUAGGCCAUGAAUCUGGUCUUGGGACACUGUCAGGUGGGCAGUUUGACUGGGGCGGUCGCCUCCCCAAAGGUAACGGAGGCGCUCAAAGGUUCUCUCAGUACGGGCGGAAAUCGUACGUAGAGUGUAAAGGCAAAAGAGAGCUUGAUUGCAAGACAUACAGGUCGAGCAAGGAUGAAAAUCGGACUUAGUGAUCCGGUGGUUCUGCGUGGAAGGGCCAUCGCUCAACGGAUAAAAG
rnacentral:rRNA from 1 species